rnacentral:rRNA from 1 species
CCAGAGCCUGAAUCAGUGUGUGUGUUAGUGGAAGCGUCUGGAAAGGCGCGCGAUACAGGGUGACAGCCCCGUACACAAAAAUGCACAUGCUGUGAGCUCGAUGAGUAGGGCGGGACACGUGGUAUCCUGUCUGAAUAUGGGGGGACCAUCCUCCAAGGCUAAAUACUCCUGACUGACCGAUAGUGAACCAGUACCGUGAGGGAAAGGCGAAAAGAACCCCGGCGAGGGGAGUGAAAAAGAACCUGAAACCGUGUACGUACAAGCAGUGGGAGCACAGAGCAAUCUGUGUGACUGCGUACCUUUUGUAUAAUGGGUCAGCGACUUAUAUUCUGUAGCAAGGUUAACCGAAUAGGGGAGCCGAAGGGAAACCGAGUCUUAACCGGGCGUUAAGUUGCAGGGUAUAGACCCGAAACCCGGUGAUCUAGCCAUGGGCAGGUUGAAGGUUGGGUAACACUAACUGGAGGACCGAACCGACUAAUGUUGAAAAAUUAGCGGAUGACUUGUGGCUGGGGGUGAAAGGCCAAUCAAACCGGGAGAUAGCUGGUUCUCCCCGAAAGCUAUUUAGGUAGCGCCUCGUGAAUUCAUCUCCGGGGGUAGAGCACUGUUUCGGCAAGGGGGUCAUCCCGACUUACCAACCCGAUGCAAACUGCGAAUACCGGAGAAUGUUAUCACGGGAGACACACGGCGGGUGCUAACGUCCGUCGUGAAGAGGGAAACAACCCAGACCGCCAGCUAAGGUCCCAAAGUCAUGGUUAAGUGGGAAACGAUGUGGGAAGGCCCAGACAGCCAGGAUGUUGGCUUAGAAGCAGCCAUCAUUUAAAGAAAGCGUAAUAGCUCACUGGUCGAGUCGGCCUGCGCGGAAGAUGUAACGGGGCUAAACCAUGCACCGAAGCUGCGGCAGCGACACUGUGUGUUGUUGGGUAGGGGAGCGUUCUGUAAGCCUGUGAAGGUGUGCUGUGAGGCAUGCUGGAGGUAUCAGAAGUGCGAAUGCUGACAUAAGUAACGAUAAAGCGGGUGAAAAGCCCGCUCGCCGGAAGACCAAGGGUUCCUGUCCAACGUUAAUCGGGGCAGGGUGAGUCGACCCCUAAGGCGAGGCCGAAAGGCGUAGUCGAUGGGAAACAGGUUAAUAUUCCUGUACUUGGUGUUACUGCGAAGGGGGGACGGAGAAGGCUAUGUUGGCCGGGCGACGGUUGUCCCGGUUUAAGCGUGUAGGCUGGUUUUCCAGGCAAAUCCGGAAAAUCAAGGCUGAGGCGUGAUGACGAGGCACUACGGUGCUGAAGCAACAAAUGCCCUGCUUCCAGGAAAAGCCUCUAAGCAUCAGGUAACAUCAAAUCGUACCCCAAACCGACACAGGUGGUCAGGUAGAGAAUACCAAGGCGCUUGAGAGAACUCGGGUGAAGGAACUAGGCAAAAUGGUGCCGUAACUUCGGGAGAAGGCACGCUGAUAUGUAGGUGAAGUCCCUCGCGGAUGGAGCUGAAAUCAGUCGAAGAUACCAGCUGGCUGCAACUGUUUAUUAAAAACACAGCACUGUGCAAACACGAAAGUGGACGUAUACGGUGUGACGCCUGCCCGGUGCCGGAAGGUUAAUUGAUGGGGUCAGCGCAAGCGAAGCUCUUGAUCGAAGCCCCGGUAAACGGCGGCCGUAACUAUAACGGUCCUAAGGUAGCGAAAUUCCUUGUCGGGUAAGUUCCGACCUGCACGAAUGGCGUAAUGAUGGCCAGGCUGUCUCCACCCGAGACUCAGUGAAAUUGAACUCGCUGUGAAGAUGCAGUGUACCCGCGGCAAGACGGAAAGACCCCGUGAACCUUUACUAUAGCUUGACACUGAACAUUGAGCCUUGAUGUGUAGGAUAGGUGGGAGGCUUUGAAGUGUGGACGCCAGUCUGCAUGGAGCCGACCUUGAAAUACCACCCUUUAAUGUUUGAUGUUCUAACGUGGACCCGUGAUCCGGGUUGCGGACAGUGUCUGGUGGGUAGUUUGACUGGGGCGGUCUCCUCCUAAAGAGUAACGGAGGAGCACGAAGGUUGGCUAAUCCUGGUCGGACAUCAGGAGGUUAGUGCAAUGGCAUAAGCCAGCUUGACUGCGAGCGUGACGGCGCGAGCAGGUGCGAAAGCAGGUCAUAGUGAUCCGGUGGUUCUGAAUGGAAGGGCCAUCGCUCAACGGAUAAAAGGUACUCCGGGGAUAACAGGCUGAUACCGCCCAAGAGUUCAUAUCGACGGCGGUGUUUGGCACCUCGAUGUCGGCUCAUCACAUCCUGGGGCUGAAGUAGGUCCCAAGGGUAUGGCUGUUCGCCAUUUAAAGUGGUACGCGAGCUGGGUUUAGAACGUCGUGAGACAGUUCGGUCCCUAUCUGCCGUGGGCGCUGGAGAACUGAGGGGGGCUGCUCCUAGUACGAGAGGACCGGAGUGGACGCAUCACUGGUGUUCGGGUUGUCAUGCCAAUGGCACUGCCCGGUAGCUAAAUGCGGAAGAGAUAAGUGCUGAAAGCAUCUAAGCACGAAACUUGCCCCGAGAUGAGUUCUCCCUGACCCUUUAAGGGUCCUGAAGGAACGUUGAAGACGACGACGUUGAUAGGCCGGGUGUGUAAGCGCAGCGAUGCGUUGAGCUAACCGGUACUAAUGAACCGUGAGGCUUAACCUUACAACGCCGAAGGUGUUU